CCUACGGGUGGCUGCAGUGGGGAAUAUUGGACAAUGGGCGAAAGCCUGAUCCAGCCAUGCCGCGUGUGUGAAGAAGGCCUUCGGGUUGUAAAGCACUUUCAGUGGGGAAGAAAGCCUUGGGGCUAAUACCCUCGAGGAAGGACAUCACCCACAGAAGAAGCACCGGCUAACUCCGUGCCAGCAGCCGCGGUAAUACGGAGGGUGCGGGCGUUAAUCGGAAUUACUGGGCGUAAAGCGCGCGUAGGCGGUCUGAUAAGCCGGUUGUGAAAGCCCCGGGCUCAACCUGGGAACGGCAUCCGGAACUGUCAUGCUUGAGUGCAGGAGAGGAAGGUGGAAUUCCCGGUGUAGCGGUGAAAUGCGUAGAUAUCAGGAGGAAUACCAGUGGCGAAGGCGACUUUCUGGACUGAAACUGACGUUGAGGUACGAAAGUGUGGGGAGCAAACAGGAUUAGAUACCCUAGUAGUC
rnacentral:rRNA from 1 species